GAACUCGGGGAAUGAGAGUUGCCAUAAGUUGGGUUGUGAAUUGUUAAGCGAACGAGGAGCAGGUAUUGGGUGGCUGAUUUCUGGACCAUAGCAUGUCUGAAUGGCGGUGGUACGGCCGCUCAUUGAUGGAGUAAAAGGCUGGCUGGAGUUUGCUUCUUUAGCUCAAGCAAAUUAUCCAUCUUUCAAAAGGACCGAGAGGCUGGCCUCACAUGGUUCAUCCCCUAAUCUCCCAGCCCGUCGGACCCCUCCUGAUCUGGGCCGAGACAGCUCACGCCGAUGCCCGGGGAAGUUCUCCUUUGUUCUUUUCUCUUUUCUUUUUU